rnacentral:rRNA from 1 species
UACGAAGGGUGCAAGCGUUACUCGGAAUUACUGGGCGUAAAGCGUGCGUAGGUGGUUGUUUAAGUCUGCUGUGAAAGCCCUGGGCUCAACCUGGGAGUUGCAGUGGAUACUGGGCGACUAGAGUGUGGUAGAGGAUAGUGGAAUUUCCGGUGUAGCAGUGAAAUGCGUAGAGAUCGGAAGGAACAUCUGUGGCGAAGGCGACUAUCUGGGCCAACACUGACACUGAGGCACGAAAGCGUGGGGAGCAAACAGG